ACUGGGAUAUACUGGGCGAUACUGGGGGGGUUACUGGUCCAUCCUGGGGAUGCCCUGCUCUGAACUGGGCUUACUGGUCCAUACUGGGAGGACUGGUCCAUACUGGGAGCCCUGGUAUGCGAUACCCUGCUCCAUACUGGUCCAUACUGGGAUAUACUGGGGGGCACUGGGGGAUUACUGGUUCAUACUGGGAUAUACUGGGGGUUACUGGUUUGUACUGGGGGCACUGGAGGGCUUACUGGUCCAUACUGGGGAUGCCCCGCUCCAUACUGGGCUUACUGGUCCAUACUGGGAGGACUGGUCGAUACUGGGAGCCCCAGUAUGCGAUACCCUGCUCCAUACUGGUCCAUACUGGACAUACUGGUCCAUACUGGGAGGACUGGUUCUGGUCCAUACUGGGCUUACUGGUCCAUACUGGGAGUCCCAGUCCCAGUGAGGAUGCCCUGUCCAUACUGGGUUACUGGUCCAUACUGGGAGGACCGGUCCCACUCCAUACUGGUCCAUACUGGGAGGACCGGUUCCAGUCCAUACUGGGCUUACUGGUCCAUACUGGGAGCACAGGUCCAUACUGGGAGGACCGGUCCCAGUUCAUUCUGGGAGAACUGGUCCAUACUGGGCAUACUGGUCCAUACUGGGAGUCCCAGUCGCUAGGGAGAUGUCCUGCUCCAUACUGGGCAUACUGGUCCAUACUGGGAGGACCGGUCCCAGUCCAUACUGGUCCAUACUGGGAGUCCCAGUCCCAGUGGGGAUGCCCUGCUCCAUACUGGACAUACUGGUCCAUACUGGGAGAACUGGUUCCAGUCCAUCCAAGCAUACUGGUUCAUACUGGGAGUACUGGUCCACACUGGGCCUACUGGUCCAUACUGGGAGCACAGGUCCAUACUGGGAGGACCGGUCCCAGUUUAUUCUGGGAGAACUGGUCCAUACUGGGCAUACUGGUCCAUACUGGGAGUCCCAGUCGCUAGGGAGAUGCCCUGCUCCAUACUGGGCAUACUGGUCCAUACUGGGAGUACCAGUCCCGGUCCAUACUGGACAUACUGGUCCAUACUGGGAGUCCCAGUCCCUAUGGGGAUGUCCUGCUCCAUACUGGUCCAUCCUGGGAGGACCAAUCCCACAACAUACUGGGCAUACUGGUUCAUACUGGGAGGACCAGUCCCAGACCCUACUGGGCAUACUGGUCCAUGCUGGGAAAACUGGUCCAUACUGGGAGCACGGGACCAUACUGGGAGGACCAGUCCCAGUCCAUACUGGGCUUACUGGUCCAUACUGGGAGUACCAGUCCCGGUCCAUACUGGGCUUACUGGUCCAUACUGGGAGUCCCAGUCCCUAUGGGAAUGCUCUGGUCCAUACUGGUCCAUACUGGGAGGACUGUUCUCACUCCAUACUGGUCCAUACUGGGAGUCCCAGUCCCAGUGAGGAUGCCCUGCUCCAUACUGGGAGUACUGGUCCAUACUGGGAGGACCGGUUCCCAUCCAUACUGGGCAUACUGGUUCAUACUGGGAGUCCCAGUCCCAGUGAGGAUGCCCUGCUCCAUACUGGGAGUACUGGUCCAUAGUGGGAGGACUGGUCCCCAUCCAUACUGGGCAUACUGGUUCAUACUGGGAGUCCUGCUCCAUACUGGUCCAUACUGGUCCAUACU
ensembl:lncRNA